CUUUAGAUGGUUACUUGAUAGGGGUAUUUAGUGAAUUGUAAAUUUUCAGGAGUUCCGAGUGAAUUUCCUAUUUUAGGUGAAAAGAGAAUGAGUGGAUUGUGAAUUGGAAAAUGUCUGCAAAGCAACUUUGUUUUAUUUAAGCUAUUGUGUUUUGCUGUAAAUUUCAAACUCUGAAAUGUGGUAUAAAUCCCUGAAGAGACAUUUCACUAUAUAACAAAUUGCACCGAACCAAAUCUACGGGACUGAUUCACUAAACACCAAAUUAUAAUGAAUUAUGACCAAG